rnacentral:rRNA from 1 species
UACGUAGGUGGCAAGCGUUGUCCGGAUUUAUUGGGUUUAAAGGGUGCGUAGGCGGUUCUCUAAGUCAGUUGUGAAAUACUUCAGCUUAACUGGAGAGGUGCAAUUGAUACUGGAGAACUUGAGUACUGAUGAGGUAGGCGGAAUGGACGGUGUAGCGGUGAAAUGCUUAGAUAUCGUCCAGAACACCGAUAGCGAAGGCAGCUUACUAAGGAGUAACUGACGCUGAGGCACGAAAAGUGUGGGGGAUCAAAACAGG